UACCAGCUCUCCGAGUGGUAGGGAUGAUUAUUGGGCUUAAAGCGUCCGUAGCCGGCUUAGCAAGUUUCCUGUUAAACUCAGCGACCUAAUCGUUGAAUCGCGGGAAAUACUACUAGGCUAGGAGGCGGGAGAGGUUGACGGUACUUCUGGGGUAGGGGUGAAAUCCUAUAAUCCCGGGAGGACCACCAGUGGCGAAGGCUGUCGACUAGAACGCGCUCGACGGUGAGGGACGAAAGCUGGGGUAGCGAACCGGAUUAGAUACCCGGGUAGUCCCAGCUGUAAACGAUGCGGGCUAGGUGUUGGGAUGGCUACGUGCCAUUUCAGUGCCGCAGGGAAGCCAUUAAGCCCGCCGCCUGGGGAGUACGGCCGCAAGGCUGAAACUUAAGGAAUUGGCGGGGGAGCACCACAAGGCGUGAAGCUUGCGGUUC
rnacentral:rRNA from 1 species